rnacentral:lncRNA from 1 species
UUGCCGUCAUGUCCAACUCCUUUACUUCUCUGCUAAUUUGCCAGCUGUGAACUUUGGUACCUUUAGGAGAUUUUUAUGUGGUUGAACAAGCGAUAAGAAUGGACCAAGUUGACAAAAUGGCUUUUCCAGGAGACUGCCAACAAGCACAGCCAGCUCUCAAGCUGUAUUGCGCAAAGAUUUGCAGCCCACAAAGAUCGGGAGUUUUUUCCAAAGGACCUCUUAAGUGAGAAACUGAGAUCUCAAAAAGUUCACCAAGACCUCCAGGAUCCAUCAUCUUCCUCAUCCUGAGUGCAGCUCCUGUUACUGCUGCUUCUCUGACCAGCCAGUCAGGAGGUGGUCAGCAGACUACAUACCCAAAGACUGGCUCUUCCAGUUGGAGAAAUGACCUUACUUCUACGUGACUCCGGGAGUGAAGGUCAAGCCCCAUAUGAGUGUUUCUAUGGUGGAAGCCCAUUAUUCAAGUCUCAUCUUCAUCUGUAAAACCUCAAAAGCUACCAGAUUAUUGUGGAAAAGCUAAACACAUUUUGAGAGACUACUUACCAUUAGCCAGAGGGGAGGUCCUGAGUCAUCCAAAUGUUCCCUAGAUGGAAAAGAAGCAUGAAAAAAUGUUCUGCCCA